rnacentral:rRNA from 1 species
CCUACGGGAGGCAGCAGUGAGGAAUAUUGGUCAAUGGACGAGAGUCUGAACCAGCCAAGUAGCGUGAAGGAUGACUGCCCUAUGGGUUGUAAACUUCUUUUAUAUGGGAAUAAAAUGUUCCACGUGUGGGAUUUUGUAUGUACCAUAUGAAUAAGGAUCGGCUAACUCCGUGCCAGCAGCCGCGGUAAUACGGAGGAUCCGAGCGUUAUCCGGAUUUAUUGGGUUUAAAGGGAGCGUAGGUGGAUUGUUAAGUCAGUUGUGAAAGUUUGCGGCUCAACCGUAAAAUUGCAGUUGAAACUGGCAGUCUUGAGUACAGUAGAGGUGGGCGGAAUUCGUGGUGUAGCGGUGAAAUGCGUAGAUAUCACGAAGAACACCGAUUGCGAAGGCAGUUCACUGGACUGCAACUGACACUGAGGCUCGAAAGUGUGGGUAUCAAACAGGAUUAGAUACCCGUGUAGUC